UACGUGAGGGGCGAACGUUGUUCGGUGUCACUGGGCUUAAAGGGCGCGUAGGCGGCUGUGCAAGUAAGGUGUGAAAGCCCCCGGCUUACCCGGGGAAUUGCGCCUUAAACUGCACGGCUUGAGGACCAGAGAGGUGGGAGGAACUCCAGGUGUAGCGGUGAAAUGCGCAGAUAUCUGGGGGAAGGCCGGCGGCGAAGGCGUCCCACUGGCUGGUUUCUGACGCUGAGGCGCGAAAGCGUGGGGAGCAAACAGGAUUAGAUACCCUGGUAGUCCACGCCCUAAACUAUGGAUACUACGUGGGGGACCCCCCAAAGGGUUCCCUUCCGGAGCGAAAGCGUUAAGUAUCCCGCCUGGGGAGUAUGAUAGCAAGGUUGAAACUCAAAGGAAUUGACGG
rnacentral:rRNA from 1 species